UUAGGUCUACAGCCUUUCAUGAUAAUGCUCUUUCGGUCGUAUAGUACCUCUUCUAUGGCUUCUUUUAUUAAAAUCUUUCAGGAAAUGUUUGAUUUACCAUAAGACAUUUACACAGAAGUGGAAGCCGGCUGCUUUCAAUUACCAUGUGAUAUGAACUCUUGGUUGUUUCACUUAUUAAUCAAUAGGCGGUGUUGCUGACCCAAAAUUCAUAGCCGUUCGUGAAAGGAUUUCAAACUUGAACACCAGUAUUUCCGUAGAAAACAGAUGUCUAACAUUAUUCCAUGAGAGAAAAAAAAACAACAACUUUAAAUCAGUAGCUUUAAUUAAGUUCGUUCAUUUUAUUGGGAUAUUGAAAUAUUAAUAAUACAUUAGGUGUAACUCUAAGAAUAUCAUGAAAACCUGCACAGCUUAUCAUCACUAAGAAAUUUUAGUAUGCAGUCUCGACAUCAUUACUUAUUCCAAAUUGUAAGCCUUAAAAAACUAUAAUUUCCAUGUCUAUAUUUUGAAUGAUCAUCAGAGAGCUGUAUAAGUAAAGCACUGUGUUUUACAGAGAGUUGUAUAAGUAAAGCACUGUUUUUUAAUAAAAUAAAAAGAAGAGAGAA